rnacentral:rRNA from 1 species
UACGUAGGGACCGAGCGUUGUCCGGAAUCAUUGGGCGUAAAGAGCGUGUAGGCGGCCCCUUAAGUCCUGCGUGAAAUCCUGCGGCUCAACCGCAGACGGUCGUGGGAAACUGGAGGGCUAGAGUGCGGGAGAGGAGAGUGGAAUUCCCGGUGUAGCGGUGAAAUGCGCAGAUAUCAGGAGGAACACCAGCGGCGAAGGCGGCGUCCUGGACUGGUACUGACGCUGAGGUGCGAAAGCGUGGGGAGCGAACAGG